rnacentral:rRNA from 1 species
GACGAACGCUGGCGGCGUGCUUAACACAUGCAAGUCGAGCGGUAAGGCCCUUUCGGGGGUACACGAGCGGCGAACGGGUGAGUAACACGUGGGUGACCUGCCCUUAGCUCGUGGGAUAAGCCCUGGGAAACUGGGUCUAAUACCGGAUAUGACUCCAUGACGCAUGUUGUGGGGUGGAAAGCCUUGUGCGGCUAGGGAUGGGCCCGCGGCCUAUCAGCUUGUUGGUGGGGUGAUGGCCUACCAAGGCGACGACGGGUAGCCGGCCUGAGAGGGCGACCGGCCACACUGGGACUGAGACACGGCCCAGACUCCUACGGGAGGCAGCAGUGGGGAAUCUUGCGCAAUGGGCGAAAGCCUGACGCAGCGACGCCGCGUGAGGGAUGACGGCCU